GAUGAACGCUAGCGGCAGGCCUAGUACAUGCAAGUCGAACGGGUGGUCGCAAGACCACUAGUGGCGCACGGGUGCGUAACGCGUAACCAACCUGCCCCGAUCUGGGGGAUAGCCCGCCGAAAGGCGGAUUAAUACCGCAUAUACCCGCAGCCUGGCAUCAGGCAACGGGGAAAGAUUUAUUGGAUCGGGAUGGGGUUGCGUGACAUUAGCUAGUUGGCGGGGUAAGGGCCCACCAAGGCGACGAUGUCUAGGGGACCUGAGAGGGUGAUCCCCCACACUGGCACUGAGAUACGGGCCAGACUCCUACGGGAGGCAGCAGUAGGGAAUAUUGGGCAAUGGGCGAGAGCCUGACCCAGCCAUGCCGCGUGCCGGAUGAAGGCCUUCUGGGUUGUAAACGGCUUUUCUCAGGGAAGAAAAAGACCUUGCGAGGUACACUGACGGUACCUGAGGAAUAAGCACCGGCUAACUCCGUG
rnacentral:rRNA from 1 species